UUUUUUUAAAGAAAGGAAAAUCAAAAUUUUUUCCUGGCAUAUGUGGGAGAGUGCCACCUUUCUCCUUGUUGUCAAAAUUCUCAAUUUCCUUCAAUCAAUAAAGGAAGCCCUAACCCCAAACUAUUUUCUCUCUCCCGGUGAGAACUCAAAACCCCAAAAAAAAAACCCCAAUUCUCUCUCUCCUUCUCUCGGGUCCUGCCGAUACCCCACCGACGAAUGACGGCCGGACUUAUUGCCGUCGUCGUCGCGCUGCUGCUGUUGUUGUUCUAGCGGUGCUGCCGCUAUUGUUGUUGGUUCUUUAAAGUUCAAUUUUCUCUCUCCUCUGUUAUCUCUCUUUUCCUAGCGUCUGUGUUGUUGUCGCCGGUGUUCGACCGAAAUUUCGGCACCGUCGAUGCUACUAUUUUCGGUGCUAUUUGCCGGCGAGUUGUCGCCGUUGUCUUAGGGUGCUGCUGUCGUGGUUGGCCGUGCGGUGGUGUGGGUUGUUCUUAAAUUCGUUUCUCUCCUCUGUUCAAUUGUUGCUGCUAUUGGGUUAUAAUCCUAUCUCCAAAAUCAGAAUCUUAUUCGAUUGAAGGUGAUUGUUAUUGGAGAAUGCUUUUGAGAAGUAUAUGACUCAAGCUAAGAUGAAGGUCAAUGUUAUGAUUCUUGGAGGUUGCAUAUAAUUGGUUUUGGUUUAUCUUGAAGUGAUCAUCGUUGAGGUUUGUAUUGGGAGCUCGUAAUGGAUCGAAAGUAAAGAGUUGAUUAUUGAAUUGUAAAUAUAUUAGUGAUUCGAAGUUAGAUAUGGAAUAUAAGUUGUUGAAUAUUAAGUUCUCAUUUGGUGUUUAAGUAUUAUAUUGUGUUGGGAAUUGUAGUAAGGUAUUCUGUAGUC